rnacentral:lncRNA from 1 species
GACUCGCAAUCAGAUUUCACAAGUACUUAACUGUACCCAGAAACCUUCCAUCAUUGAAUUAAAAAUUUAGGUAGUUUGGCACCAAAGCAUAGUGAGUUGCUUGUAAGUCACCAAGGCAGCCUCAGGUCAGAGAGAUGCAUGUACCAAUAUCCCAUCAGAACAAUCCUUAAUAGUAGAGUACUUCGAAAGUGGUCACGCUCAGUGAAAUGUGCUCCUACA